UGUAUCGAACGUUAAAUUGUUAUUCGUAAUAUCUCUUUUCAAUGCUAAAGUAUGAAAACAUUUGUUAGCUAUGUAAAUUCAUCAAAUCAAAAGUUCUAGAAAGAUUUGGAAUAUUCUGAUUCUGUAACAAAUGUAAAUUUAUAUUUCGGUCAUUUUUGAAAAUAGUGAGUUACUAGGGAUUCGUCGUGGCCUAGAUUCCGAUUUGACUUUUAAUGGAGGUAUAACCGUGGCUGUAACAGGGACUUUCUUCUUGUCAAAAUUUUAUAUCGAAUGCAGCUAAGUCAAUUUAUUAUGUCACACAAUUAAUUAUUAUCUUUAAUCCAGUCAAAAACUGGAACUAUUUUGCGAUAUGGUUCCAUUUCGAGCGGUGAUCUGGUUAUGCGACGCGUUUACCCGAAUAAUUCGCUUUCAGAAUCUGAUUAUUCUGUUACCAAUUUAAUAAUAUAAUUUAAAAAAAACAAAACUGUUUAGGAUUAUCUUAUUUACGGAAGAGAACGUGUAAUGGGUCGAAUGUCUCGUCAAUACAAUAUCAGACAUUCUGAGAUUAAUUUGUUUUUAUCGUUAGAUAAAUUUAUCGUCUCAAGGAAUGAGGCCGAAAGUUUUGAAACUGAAUCAAUCGGGUUGACUGAAAAAAAAAAACAAAAAAAAAACCCGAAGCAUGUCGCCACGGCCAUGGCAUCAUUAUAUCUAACCUUUUAUGCUUUUAUGAAGUCAAAGAACACGUUGAUUUGUUUCGCGACCUAUACAUAGGCCUACAGUAUUUGUUUAAAGACCCAAACGCUUUCCAUUUGGACUGACAGGAAUGGUCAAAGAAUUUUGUCUGCGAGAUACAGUUCUGACAGGAAUUAGUCAUUCAGAUGGUACGAUAAACAAGUUCCCCUGUACACGGCAUGCACAUACCGAAGUUGAUUUGGAGAAAAAUAAAGCUCCUUAAGCAGAGAAAAGACACAAGAAUGUAUUGAUGUUGGAUGUUUAAGUUGAAAAAAUCAAACUAAAGACUUCAGCAGAAGUGAAAUGAUCCCAAAAAGAACUUAAGGGGGGAAUAUGUUUCAAGGAAUAAUGAAAUCUAGAGAAGAAUACCAGAAGAAAAAUGGUACAGGAGAAAUUUCAAGAUCUAGAUUGGUAAAAUGCUUUCUAGAUGGAGCUUAGUAAAUGCAUUUCAAGAUUGAGCUUAUUAAAAAUUGAAUUCUAGAAAUAGAAACCUUUGAUUACCGUGCACCACAAGCUUUUGCUUACGAUAAUGUCGAAUCAUUUUGGUGUUGCAGAAAUUGCAAAAGAGUGGAUGGCGUCAUAUCUACAAAACAGGAGUUUUCGUGUAAAAGUUAAGAAUGAUUUCUCCGAUGUAAAACAUGUAAAUUUUUCAGUUCCACAAGGUAGCAUCAAUGGUCCGAUCUACUUUAUUUGCUAUACCAGUACACUAGCAUCCUGCAUCAGACACAAUCAAACAUUAGUUGGCUACGCCGAUGACCACAGCUUGUAUGACAGUUUUAAAGCCGGAGAUCUUGAUGCAGAAUCUCAUAUUGCUUCCCGCGUAUCAGAGUCCUUAGACGAUGUUAAAAUCUGGAUGCUGCAUAAUCGACUAAAGAUGAACGACGAAAAAACUGAGGUUAUUAUCUUCGGUGGUAGCCGUUAGCUCCACAAGUCUACCAUCCACGAAUUAAGAGUUGGGGAUUCUGUAGUUGGGUCUUCAUCCCGUGUUAAAUUCCUGGGGAUGCAUUUGGACGAAAACUUAAACUUAAAGAGUCAUUUUGCCCAGAAGACUUGUUGUGCUGCUUCGGCAAUGUUCAACUUGCGGAAAUUGAGUCCGUUUCUUUCGCGAGAAUCAUCUCUUCAAAUUGCCAGUUCUUUAGUUUUCUCCCAUAUGGAUUACAGAAAUAGUCUGCUCUGUGGUUUGCCAGCAACUACUCUUCAACCUCUCCAACGAAUUCAAAAUUUUACUGCAAAGCUAAUUCUUGGUGUUAAUUACGGCCAUAGCUCGACUGGUGCUCUGAAAGAACUUCAUAUAUUGCCAGUUGAAGUCCGAUGCCAAUUCAAGCUACUGGUACUGGUGUAUAAGUGUCUCCACAACCUUGCCCCUGUCUACCUUUCUGAAUUAUUGCAGUCCCAAACUUCAUCAUGCAAUAUGAGAUCGUCAUCAAAAAACAUUUAUACCCAAGACAAAAAGUAAAACAUUUGCAGACAGAUCGUUCAGUGUGCUAGGACCGCAGCUCUGGAAUACAUUUCCAGAAAGUGUGAAACAAUGUCAAACUGUAACGGAUUUUAAAAAGAAACUCAAAACAUAUUUUUUUCGUAAAGCAUUUCUUUAACGUUUGUGUAAGACUUUGUGAAGCGCCAUUGAAUGCAUGGCAGUAAUGUGCACUAUAUCAAAUGUAAUAUGUUAUGUUAUGUUAUGUUAUUACAUCGUUUCUUCACAGACAGUUGAGUUGAUGAUAAUGUAACAAUAAAGAACUUUUUUCAUUGGAUCUUAUUAUUUCAUUACAAAUUUUGAAUGUAAAUACAUGUAACAUUUUGUUUUAUAUUUUGAAAUAUUGUAUAUAUUAUGGAAAAUUGUGAUAAUUGUUUAUUAAUUUUGAAAUAUCUAGACUGUGAUUUGGUUUUAAUUCAUGCAUAUGUAACGUAAUCAUUAUUGAUUA